AAACAAAUGUCAUCAUACCUAGUAAACAAUUUUAAUAAUCUCUGCUAUUAGCUGGAUUCAAACACACUGAGUUCCUCCCCAAAUAUCUUUUUUUAAAAUAUCCUCUUAGGAAGAAUCUGGGGAAAUUAAAAACAUAUCAAAAUUGUUACUGGAUCUCAAAAUGAGAUCUUCAGACCGUUUGAUUGAGAAAUCACCAAAGGUAUUUGUUAAAAUGCAGUUGUGUGGGGGCAAUCUCAAACCUAUUAAUUCAGAACUGUGCAGAAUGGCUCCAAGCAAUCUGUGAUUUUAAAAAGGCUUCCAGAUGAUUUUUAUGCCCUCUAAACUUUAAGAACUGUUUGUUUAUAAAAUGUAAUACUUUAGCAAGGAUUGCUGUCUAUGUUAGAGAAGAAAAGUUAUCAUUUUUGUGCUUAAAGAUAAGCCACCAAUAUUUUGAGGUUCAAACUAGCAAUCAUGUUUGAAAUGUAUCUUUAAUCUAUCACACCAGUGUUAAAUGCUCAGCACUGUAAAUUUUCUAUUUGGACUGUCUAAGCAUUUAAAUAGAAUUGGUAAACUAAUGAUAGGCAUUAAAAGGCUGCUUGAUGGAUUAUUAAAAUAGUAAAUGUGUCACCGAAGUUUAUAGAGACCAGAAGAACUUUGAAAAUAGACUAUACAUAUUAAGAUGUUCUAAUGCUGCUAUUCAGGAUUGGUCUGGGCAACAUAAGUCUCUUUUGAAUUUUUGAAAGAAAGCAUCAUUGUCCAAAGCUCCUUACUCCUGUUGACUGUGUGGUUCUCACUAUUUUUGACCUCAGAGUGAAAAGAAUGCUGGUUUAUAAGUCAGAAGGCUUAGGUUCUAUAGUUUAUGAUCUGUUUUGGGGGGCUUCAGUUUGCUCAUCAAUAAAACAAUGGCUUAGACUAUUAGCUGAUCUCUAAAGUAUUGUCUAGACCUAAAUUUCUAUUAUCAUUCUGAGCUUCAGUUUCCUCUGCCAUAAAAUAUGGGGUUGCACUAGGUGCAGUGUGUCCAUUUGUCCUGUGUGUCUGAGGGCGGCCCUGUCAUCUCCAUUACGGCGCUCAGAUCUCCAUUCAUAAUUCAGGCUCACCCUCUCUAACACUGUAAGAUCAAUGAUGCUUCAUUUAGGCUUUCCCAAGGAAGGGACAAUAUAUUAGCCAUUCACACAUGUCUUUUAUAAGAGAUAAUUAUUUAUUCAAACAUACAGACUAACAAAUAUGUGCCAUUCAUCACUGUGCUAGGCCCUGGGAAUACAGUAAUGAAAAAAGUCAGAAAACAGAGUUCUGGCCUAUGCAGCCUACAUUCUGAUGGGGAAGUAGGGAGGGAUGGGGAAGAAGAUAAAAACAACAAUCAUAUUAAACAAAUAAAAAUAAGAGACUUUAGUUUGUAAUCAGCUCCAUGAGAGUUCACUGAGGGCUGAGAUGGAGAAGAACAGAAGGGAGUUCAGAAAAGCCUCCUGGAGGAAGUGCAAUUUACUUAGACCUAAAGGAAGAAAAGAAGAAAAAUGGGAAGGAAGGGGGUGGAGAAAGGGGAAGGGAGAGCAUAUUCUGGGAUUCUGUGGGAGAAAUAGCUUAUGUGCUUGGCAUCCAAAAUCCUGGAACUGUCUCUUCUAUCUCUGAGAGAUAAUUUAAUCCAAAACUAGUGAAAGGAAACCAGAGGCCCAGAGGGUUAAAGGACUUCUCUGAGGUCAAAUGGCUAAUUAACAGAAGAACUCUUCCACACUUCAGUCCAGAAUGUGAACUCUUCUUAGAGAUUGCAACGGAGCAGGAAGUACCAGACUGUAUUGAUUCAAAUCCUGGCUUUUCUAUUCAUAAACUGUUCAUCCUUGGGCAUGAGAGCUUCUUUGAGCCUCAGUUUUCUUUUCUGUGAAACACAGACAACAUCUACUUCACCAGAUUAUGACAAGAAUUUAAUGAGAUAUUGUGGCACAGUGCCUAGUAUAUCACAGCUGCUCCGGAAAUGCAAGCUCUUUUAUUUUUCACCUAGUGCACUUUCACCCGUAACAACUUGUUGUCAAGUUAAGACAAAGUAGAGCAGAGGUUUAAGUUACUUGGAUAAAGGAGGAGUGGCGGCAGAGGGAAGGUUGUGGAAUAUGGGAAUGGAGUCUAUUUAGCAACUGCCCAUCCAAAUUCUAGUGGAGGAAAUGAAAAGAAAAGUCCACUAAAUUGGACAAGUGUCAAAAAAAAGACAUCCUCAACUUCAUUAAGGUCACAGCAUAACCUGCUAGUGAUAAAUCUAGAGUUGUCUAUCUAAAACAAAAGAAAGAUCACCUAUAUCUGUAUUUAUACUUAAAAGUAGCAUAGAAGAAACAGAUUUUACUCUAGGAUGUCAGUAAACAGAAGAAUGACACACUUUGUUAUUCAAAACAUGCUCAGAGAAAAAUGUUAAUAUGCCACUAAAUCAACUGGGAACAAACCAGUUAUCUGCAGGAUCUUAAAAUGAUAGCUGGUGUUAAGGAUGCCUCAAAACCAAGCCCAUGAUAUUGGAAGAAUCAAUAAUUAAUCCAAGUAACUAUACAGAUUUUCUUCAUUGUCUAUGAACAAAACCACAGGUUGAAUUCAACCUUAAAAUACGAAGAGGCGUAUUUCUUGGAUUAGACUGGAAAGCUAUGAGGCUGUUCCACAAAACCUGUAUGCCCUCCCUGUUAGGGAAUGUUGAUGGUUCAGACACACAUGAACCAGGGCUGAAUAUUUCUUAGUUUCGGAAGUUCACUGGGUCCCUCUUCACCCAACCAUAAGGUAAAUGCCAUUUCAUAUACAGCUUUUUGAAAUGCAGCUUAUUUUAUGAUUCUCUGCUGUUGCUGCUUUAUGGGAGAAAUUUUAUUUCAAAGUUUCAUAGGAUGUGAAUUGAACUCAUUAUUUUGCUCCAAACUCAUUGUUUAAUUGACAGGAAACAUGCAUCUAAAUCAUCUUAUAUGCAUGGCAGAAGCAGCUACAUAAAUUUAACUAUGGGUGGAUUAUUACUAUUUAGCAUAUUUAUAGAAUUUUAGAUUCAGGAAGCAUUUUACAAAUCUUUUAUUAGUUAAUCUUUACACUUCUGAGUGCAUCUGACAGGUGGUAAACAAUGCUUUGGGGUUUAAAUUGCCAAUACAUGAAAACUUUAAUGGGGAAAAAGAAAUCUACAGCCUUCCUCCUUGCUCCCAAAUGUGCCUAGGGCACAUUUUUGAUACCUAUUUCUUCUCACCAGAGACUAAGGUUAGUGGCCCAAGAAGCACAGUUGCACACACUGAAACACUAGUGAUAAAAAAUAUAUAUUUUGGGUUUUGUCCCAAGUCAGGUGGCCAACACCAGGGGAGACCUUCUCACCAACAGCAAGAUGAUGUGACAGGAUUCUCAGCACACAUACCUCCCAAUAAUACAGCGCAUAAAAAGAAGCAGUCAAUUUCUCUAAAACUAUAGGGUAAACUUAGUUUCAAAUUCAAAUUCUAACAACGCCACACCUGGUGGACUCACUAUUUGAGUGACAUCACCAGUGAUUACUUUUGAGUGACAUCACCAGUGAUUACUUCUGUUAAAAUAUAUACAUGUGUAUUGAAAAAUAAAACUCAAUUUAAACUAAGAGAAUGCAUAUCUUCAUUUUUUUUUAAUUCCCAAGUAUUAAAAACCAAGCUCGCUUGAAUACCAGUUCAAACUUUAUAUGAGUGCUCCAAAAUACCCCAGACACCACAAGGUGUGGCAUAGCAGGGCAAAGCAAGCCUCAAUAAAUCAUAGUCUAGUUCUUGACCCAAACCUUUUUACAGCCCGGGGAUUUCACAGCUAACAAACCAAGAAAAAUCAAUCCCGCAUCACCUUAAGGCCGGGCAUGAGGAGCUGCAGAUGCUGCACCUACUUUCAGAAGACCCCAGUGUGGCACGUCCAGCCCAGAUUCUUAUUUUUUCUGGCUGACAGUGACUUUAUCCCUCUAAUCUCUCUGGCCACCCGCCUCCGCCAGUGUGUGUGUGUGUGUGUGUGUGUGUGUGUGUGUGUGCGUGCGCGCGCGCUGGGGGACGCUUAGGUAGGAGGGUGCUCAAGACACCCAAAGUAUUCUGGAAGCAAGCACCCUCUGCGGCCCUGUGCUUUGUCAGAGCAGCUGGGCUAGCUGUCAGGAGGUCAGCGAAAGGUCCUGAUGUCAGCUGAAGAGAGAAAUGGUGUCUCCCAGAGUGUCCUCGGCUUACCUUUCCAUCUGGAGGGUGCCUACUCAAUUCAAGAGGAAAGAGUUUUUGAGAGAAGACCCAGUUUUCUUAUUUUGCCAUUCCAGUGGUUUCUGGCAAGCCAGGACACCCGCUCCUCCUUUCUGAAACUGAUCUAGCUGUCAUGUUUGCCUUAGCAGAGCCAGGAACUGCACCCACACAGACUCUUCGUUGGGCAAGUCAAGUCUCUGCUCAUUUACUAGGAAACUUCUCUUUCUCCGCUGAGUUUUCCGAGAGAAAGAUAUUUAUACAUGGAUUUGUACAUGGAUUUCUCCUAUAAAAUGAUGACAGUAUGGAUUUUGAUUUGACUUUUCUCCAAGAUGAUGCCUCUUAAACCAUCCUUCUUAUUUUAUUGUUAUUAUUUCUAUGAAAUCAUUUAACUGGAACCUUUCUAACUACACAAAUCAUCUACAUCUGUGGAGUCUUCUCUGCUCCUUCACCAAGAAACCUCACUCCACAACAGAUCAUAGUGAUUAUACUAUGUAAUUUUGAAACCUAUGGCAUUUAAAAAUAUAUGUGUGGUUCAAAAAAUAAAUUCAAAGUCCUUUUCUGAUA